rnacentral:tRNA from 1 species
GAUGAGUGUCGUAUAAUUGAUAUUACGCCUUCCUGUCACGAGGGAGAUGCAGGUUCGAAUCCUGUCCUCAUCA